GCGGUGCGAGAGAGACAACUGUCAGUAAUUUGUGAAUUGUGCGGCUUGGCGUUCAGUCAUUUUAAUAUACCUAUGUACAUUUAUUUCAGCGGUGGAAAAUAUAUUUAAAGUAUAUAUAAAAGCUUUGUGUGCCUUCGUUUCAAAUAGAAGUAAGUAAAAAUUGCGAUAAAAGUUGUUUUAAAACCGUGUAUAUUUAAUGCAUCUUUUAUUGUGCAGUUGCAAUUAAAAAUUUGUGAAUUCUGCGGCUCGGCUUUCGGCCAUUUUUAUUAAAAUUGCAUUUUGCAUUCAGCGUGGAAAAUCAGCUUUGUGUGCUUUCGUUCCAAAUAGAAGUAAGUAAAAAUUGCGAUAAAAGUUGUUUUAAAACCGUGUAUAUUUAAUGUAUCUUUUAUUGUGCAGUUGCAAUUAAAAAUUUGUGAAUUCUGCGGCUCGGCUUUCGGCCAUUUUUAUUAAAAUUGCAUUUUGCAUUCAGCGUGGAAAAUCAGCUUUGUGUGCCUUUGUUCCAAACUUACAAGUCCAGUCCAGUUUUUGUGUGCAGCAUUUUCGUUCGGUGGUGGAAAAUCGUUUUGCGAAGCUUAAUAUUUGCAAAUGAUCCAAAAACCUGACAUGUUGGCACAUCAUAAAGCCGUUAGGGAGACGAAAGUGCUCACCAAAAAGGUGCAUCAGAUAAUAUGCAAAAUAAGUGGAGAGACUGGAGAGGAUCUCCAUAAUGAGCUCAACGACAUCCUGCCUAUGAUGUCCAUUGACGCCGUUUUUGACAUGGAGGAGAAGCUCCAUGAUACAACCUACCAGGACGCGGUUUCUUCGUACUUGUACAUAAUGAAAGGAGCCACCGGGGACAUUGAUUCAGUUAUUUAACGAAUUUUUAGCGACGAGGUCCUCGGCUUGUUCAACUGGGACGGACGUUGCAACAAAAAGGCCCUGUCCAAGCUAAAGCUAGUUGGCCCUGUUCUUUUUGACAUUUUUAAACUCCAAGGAAGAAAGAAUAACUUUUGAAAAGGAAGUAAGAAAAUUAGUGGAAUUAAGUCAUAAUCGCAUUAAGCAGAAAAAGUACUUGUCCAAACAAAACAUUAGUUUGUGAAUUGAUCAAUGAUAACAUUUCGAUCUAUACUUAUACUUAUAACUUAUACUUAUACUUAACUAUACUUAUACAUAUACUAAUAUUUAUAAUAACAUAAAUAUUUGUAUUCUAUGUAUUUAUGUACAGUGGCUCAAAGCCAAAAUGGAAAACACCAAACAUUUUUUCUUUUAUAAUAUUUACAAAGAUUUUCAUGUUAAAUAAUUUCUGUAUUUUUUUUUAAUAUAGUACAAUAUACAAAAACCAUGAAAGCUAAAAUUCCAAAGUUUGUACAAAAACUAGGAAAAUUCGACAAAAUUUUCAUGAAAACUUCUAACUUUUUGAUCAGUUCUUUCAGAAAUAUUUCUGGUUUGCAGUUUUGUGCCCAUUAUACGUUAGUAUAAUGUGUAAGUAUUUCUAAAAAAUCUUUUUUAUAAACAAGAUAGAACUUUUCAUUAAAACUGUCGAAUUUUCCAAAAAAAAAAUUUUUAAUAUUUACAAAGUUUUCAUGUUAGAUCAUAGAACAACAAAAACAUAAAAGCUAAAGUGUACAAAAGCUAGGAAAAUUCGACGAAAUUUUCAUGAAAAUUUCUAACUUUUUGAUCAGUUCUUUCAGAAAUAUUUCUGGUAUGCAGUUUUGCUCUCGUUAUACUUUAGUAUAAUGUGUAAGUAUUUCUAAAAAAUCUUUUUUAUAAACAAGUUGG
rnacentral:lncRNA from 1 species